GGCUCAAUAGCUCAGCUGGCUAGAGCGUCCGGUUCAUACCCGGCAGGUCGAUGGUUCGAAUCCGUCUUGAGCCACCA
rnacentral:tRNA from 1 species